AUGACCAUGAAGUCUCUUGCUCAGGUCCUGGCAAUUUGGCUUCUCUGGUUCUCAGGUGCCAGAUGUGACAUUCAAGUGACACAAUCUCCAUCCUCCCUGUCAGUAUCUUUAGGAGACAGAGUCACCAUCAACUGCCUGGCAAGUCAGAGCAUUAGCAAUGCACUAAGCUGGUACCAGCAGAAAACAGGACAAGCUCCUACACUUUUGAUCUAUUAUGCAAAUAGUUUGCAAUCUGGUGUCCCAUCAAGGUUCAGUGGUCAAUACUCUGGGAAAAGUUUCACUCUAACCAUCAGCAGCCUGGAGCCUGAAGACAUUGGAACUUAUUAUUGUCUGCAGUAUUACAGUGCUCCUCCCACAGUGAUUCAAGCCAUGACAUAA